AUUGAACGCUGGCGGCAGGCCUAACACAUGCAAGUCGAACGGUAACAGGAAACAGCUUGCUGUUUCGCUGACGAGUGGCGGACGGGUGAGUAAUGUCUGGGAAACUGCCUGAUGGAGGGGGAUAACUACUGGAAACGGUAGCUAAUACCGCAUAACGUCGCAAGACCAAAGAGGGGGACCUUCGGGCCUCUUGCCAUCGGAUGUGCCCGGAUGGGAUUAGCUAGUAGGUGGGGUAACGGCUCACCUAGGCGACGAUCCCUAGCUGGUCUGAGAGGAUGACCAGCCACACUGGAACUGAGACACGGUCCAGACUCCUACGGGAGGCAGCAGUGGGGAAUAUUGCACAAUGGGCGCAAGCCUGAUGCAGCCAUGCCGCGUGUAUGAAGAAGGCCUUCGGGUUGUAAAGUACUUUCAGCGGGGAGGAAGGGAGUAAAGUUAAUACCUUUGCUCAUUGACGUUACCCGCAGAAGAAGCACCGGCUAACUCCGUG
rnacentral:rRNA from 1 species